rnacentral:misc_RNA from 1 species
UCUCCGUUGGUGAACCAGCGGAGGGAUCAUUACCGAGUUUACAACUCCCAAACCCCUGUGAACAUACCAUUUGUUGCCUCGGCGGUGCCUGCUUCGGCAGCCCGCCAGAGGACCCAAACCCUUGUUUUUAUACAGUAUCUUCUGAGUAAAUGAUUAAAUAAAUCAAAACUUUCAACAACGGAUCUCUUGGUUCUG